ACUUGUUAGAUGGAACUUGUGUCUCAGGAUAACAUCUUAGUCUUUUACUGAUAUGUCUAACGUCACUUUUCUGUUUUGUCCUAGACAAGCUGACAUCAUCUCCCAAGAUUUCUUUCUAAACUUGUCUGUAAGAGUUGCAAAGACUCAGGGCUGAAGAUUGCUAGAUACAGGCGAGUACUGAAAGCAUCUUACAACCGCAUAUUUUCCAAAGAGCUCAAAACAAGACCAAAGGAAGCAAAACUCUGCUUAGAAUUCCCAGAAGCAGCCGCAUCAUCUUGGCACGGGAGAAGCAUCUUUGAACUUUCCGAUGGACAACAUUGCAGAGAUCCCCUGCUGCCCCUCUGAAUCCAAAGCUGACAUGAGUAAGCAAACCCAGAAGGCUGAAGUUUCGAAACUGCUCAGCUGGAGUCAGCUCUCCAUGUUGCUACCAGCUAAUGAGUAAUCCCUUCACAACUGAGCUUGCUAACGAGUGUCUGCCAGGAAACACAGAAAGAGCAUGUUGGAGCAAGUAUUCAUGAUGUGGCUUCAUACAAUGCUUGGAUUUGAUCUUCCAGAAGAGGAUUCAGCAGGGUUUGCUUCACUUUUAAUUAUCCCCAGGAUGAAAGAGCACCGAGAUGUGUUUAAAUAGUUCCGUUCUGACAGAGACUGAUUUUACUCAAUAGUGUGCCUAUAUAUAUAAAUAUAUUUUACAAUGACUGUACUUUUUAUUCUGUCAAUACUUAGCCCCAGAACAAAGGACAAUGGCAGCCGUGUAUAUAAGCAUGUGUAUAAAAGCUCAUUCUGAUCAGAUCUAUACUGGGUAGAUCAA
rnacentral:lncRNA from 1 species